rnacentral:piRNA from 1 species
UGGGAAGCGCACCUCACCUAGGAUGACUC